AUUGAACGCUGGCGGCAGGCCUAACACAUGCAAGUCGAGCGGUUGAGGGGAGCUUGCUCCCUGAUUCAGCGGCGGACGGGUGAGUAAUGCCUAGGAAUCUGCCUAUUAGUGGGGGACAACGUUUCGAAAGGAACGCUAAUACCGCAUACGUCCUACGGGAGCAAGCAGGGGACCUUCCGGCCUUGCGCUAAUAGAUGAGCCUAGGUCGGAUUAGCUUGUUGGUGAGGUAAUGGCUCACCAAGGCGACGAUCCGUAACUGUUCUGAGAGGAUGAUCAGUCACACUGGAACUGAGACACGGUCCAGACUCCUACGGGAGGCAGCAGUGGGGAAUAUUGGACAAUGGGCGAAAGCCUGAUCCAGCCAUGCCGCGUGUGUGAAGAAGGUCUUCGGAUUGUAAAGCACUUUAAGUUGGGAGGAAGGGUUGUAGAUUAAUACUCUGCAAUUUUGACGUUACCGACAGAAUAAGCACCGGCUAACUCUGUGCCAGCCGCCGCCGUAAUAC
rnacentral:rRNA from 1 species